GAACGCUGGCGGCGUGCUUAACACAUGCAAGUCGAACGGAACUUUUCUCCCGACGAAGCGGAGAGCUUGCUCGAAGCAGAGUCAUUUGAAAAGUUUAGUGGCGGACGGGUGAGUAACGCGUGGGUAACCUGCCAUAUACAGGGGGAUAACACUUAGAAAUAGGUGCUAAUACCGCAUAAGCGCACAGUAUCGCAUGAUACAGUGUGAAAAACUGAGGUGGUAUAUGAUGGACCCGCGUCUGAUUAGCUGGUUGGUGAGGUAGAAGCUCACCAAGGCGACGAUCAGUAGCCGGCCUGAGAGGGUGAACGGCCACAUUGGGACUGAGACACGGCCCAAACUCCUACGGGAGGCAGCAGUGGGGAAUAUUGCACAAUGGGGGAAACCCUGAUGCAGCGACGCCGCGUGAGUGAAGAAGUAUUUCGGUAUGUAAAGCUCUAUCAGCAGGGAAGAAAAUGACGGUACCUGACUAAGAAGCCCCGGCUAACUACGUGCC
rnacentral:rRNA from 1 species